UACACAAAGGACGGACAAUACGCUCCAUCCCAAUCAGCCUGUCUCUUUAACGUAACUUGCAGUCAGUGUUACUUUUGUCACCGUCAUUUAUUUUGAAAAAUCUCCACACUGCUGACAUUACUCCUCGGCCACAUACUUGCUGCACUGUGAACGUUACGCUGCCGUCAAGUGGUAUCGGUGUGUUUGUAUUGGAGCACUUUUACAAGUACGAGUAUUAGUACAUGCGCUCAGUAUCGGACCAAUACCUGAUGCUGGUAUCGGUGCAUCCCCACUUUGUUGUUUUUUCUCA